AUACUGCUGAAGAGUCCCAAACUAGGACGAAACAGCUGCCCAGUAC
rnacentral:hammerhead_ribozyme from 1 species